rnacentral:lncRNA from 1 species
GGAAAUAUUUUUAAUUACCGAAAAUUAACUGUGUACCCUCGUCAAAUGAAUAUUUAUCUUUAGCGAGAGGAUGAUUCACAAAAUUCAUUCUAAUUCCACUUCUACAAGCACUCGUACUAGCAUUAGCACUUGCUCCAUCACAUCUUCCAACGUCAAGUCCCAAAUCAUAAAUAAAUUUCAAUCUUUCCUGCCCCCUGCCCAAGAAAAAAAAACCCGAAUUCAUUACAUAAAUAUCUUAACUUGAAGAUUUUUUUUUUCAAAAGAAUUUUGAUUAUUCAACUGGUUUUGGUUAACUUACAUAAUCAGGCCGGCAUGCAUCUGGAGUUGGCAAAAUUCAUUCAAUUUGUCUUGCUCAGCCUUCUGCGCGUUCUCUAAGUUUCUUAAACUUCCUUUUUUGUUACAAAAUCCUCUGCUAAUGGAAACUGAUAAAAAAAACAACAUUCUAUUUCUCAAAACAAGGGAUUAAUAUUUAAUAAGCUUGUUCACCAUCUUUAUUUAAGAACAAAAAGCCAAUAUCAUUAACACUUCAAUUCAUGACUGAAGCUGAAGAUAUGGAAAAAAAAAAAAAAAUCAAAGCAAAGAAACACACCCCUGCUUUUCGUUUAGAAAUGAAACUGUCUUUCUCGAAACAAGAAGCCAAUAUCAUUAUCGCC